GUCGCUAUGUUGGAAUUGGUAGACAAAUCGGAUUUAAACUCCGUCGCUGGAAACAGCAUCCGGGUUCGACUCCCGGUAGCGGCACCA
rnacentral:tRNA from 1 species